UUCCGGGGCUAAAACUUACUACCGAAGCUACGGCAUCAGGAAUGAUGGGUAGGGGAGCUUCCCAUACGGGUUGAAGCAGGACCGUAAGGACAUGUGGACAGUAUGGGAGGGAGAAUGUUGGCAUGAGUAGCGAGAUGUGGGUGAGAAUCCCACAGGCCGUAAACCCAAGGUUUCCAGGGGAAGGUUCGUCCGCCCUGGGUUAGUCGGGACCUAAGCUGAGGCCGAAAGGCGUAGGUGAUGGACAACAGGUUGAUAUUCCUGUACUACCGAU
rnacentral:rRNA from 1 species